CAGGUUCCCGCUGGGGAAACGCGGCGUCAGAACACGGGCAGGUUCCCGCUGGGGAAACGCGGAGUCAGAACACGGGCAGGUUCCCGCUGGGGAAACGCGGAGUCAGAACACGGGCAGGUUCCCGCUGGGGAAACGCGGCGUCAGAACACGGGCAGGUUCCCGCUGGGGAAACGCGGCGUCAGAACACGGGCAGGUUCCCGCUGGGGAAACGCGGCGUCAGAACACGGGCAGGUUCCCACAGGGGAAACGCAGAGUCAGAACACGGGCAGGUUCCCGCUGGGGAAACGCGGCGUCAGAACACGGGCAGGUUCCCGCUGGGGAAACGCGGAGUCAGAACACGGGCAGGUUCCCGCUGGGGAAACGCGGCGUCAGAACACGGGCAGGUUCCCGCUGGGGAAACGCGGAGUCAGAACACGGGCAGGUUCCCGCUGGGGAAACGCGGAGUCAGAACACGGGCAGGUUCCCGCUGGGGAAACGCGGCGUCAGAGCACGAGAGACCCUCUGCACCCAGUGACACAUGGAGUCCUUUCUGGGCACGCGGCACGGACCAGGGUAACCUGGAGGCUGUGAAAGGUUACCCUUAGGGUUACUGCGCUUCUCUACGGUCUGUGUGGGUGUGCGUGCCUUUGACUGUGCGUGUGUCUUUGUGACAUCUAAUCU